UGGAAGAACUGCCCUAGGACUCUUGUGGAACACCUAAGUAAUCCUGGAAUCAUUGAAGCAAGGAGUUGGAAGAAGCCUCAGGGGUCAUCUGGUAUAAUCCAAUGGAUCUGGCCUCCUUUUGUUCCUUACACAAGAUGCUCCAUUUCCUGAUGAUUCCACCUAAAAUCCAACUCCCUCAAGAACACCGAUUUUGAUAAUUGCCCUUGAAUGAAAACGACCUUCUCUACUCCUUUGACAAUGAAGUAAACAUCUGGAUCUAAUGCUUUCUGUCUCCUAAUUCCUC
rnacentral:lncRNA from 1 species